AACUGCAAAGAGAGCUCUGGUUUGGAGCCCACAGUAGGCUAUUAUCUGUGGAACCAGAUAUAGUACUGGCUCAGGAGACACAGAACAGAGCAGGGAUGGACAGUCAUAUUUGCAAACCCACUGUGCAGCAGCACAGGCAGGUUAAACUGUAGUCUUGGCAAUCUAAAACCAUCGAGAGCAAGGAGGGAAGAGGACAGCAACUGCCUCAGAAAAGCAUGAAGGGAACUUCCCCACACCCAGCCCUAUUUCAGCACAGCCAUUUCUCCUUCUGUUAAGCGGGCUGAGCCUAAAGGCAGAAGGGCACAGUCAGCAGCGCAUAUCCAAGAGUACAGACUCUUGCUUUCUCAUCAAAAAGACCAGCAUCCUGAGAAGAAGGAUGUGUAACGCUGCCCUCCCUGACUCUGCCUGGGGCACCACCCUGCUCUCUUGGGUUGCUGUCUUUCUCCUGGGAACAAGUUCAGCAAAUUCUGAGGUCAUCCAGUCUCCAAGACACAUAAUCAAAGAAAAGGGAGGAAGGUCCAUUCUGAAAUGUAUUCCCAUCUCUGGGCAUAACAACGUGGUUUGGUACCAACAGACUCAGGGUCAGGAACUAAAGUUCCUCAUUCAGCAUUAUGAAAAAACAGAGGGAGAAAAAGGAUUACUACCCAGCAGAUUCUCAGUCCAGCAGUUCAAUGACUAUCACUCUGAGAUGAAUAUGAGUGCCUUGGAGCUGGAGGACUCUGCCGUGUACUUCUGUGCCAGCUCUCUCCACAGCCUUACAGAGCUACUGACUUUCUGUAAUGUAAUCUUCCUGCCCCAUCUGGUGAUUUACUGGAGAGGGGUUGGGCAAUGCCACGAAGGCUUAGCCAUGGCCUAGAAAUGAUUUUAUCUCUGUGCUAAUCCCUUUAUGGUCUACCAGAGCUAACAUAGAUAGUCCCAAACACUGAGGUUGGCCCCAAGCCUGCCAGAUGUUCUUAUCUGUCUGCCAAUACAUUUCAGUUCCUAGGCAGAUGCAGGGAACCUCAUUCUGUGCUGCCCUAGGCCACAUAUUUUAUGACAAGGGUAAAUGUUAACAUGCCCAUUUUGAAGAUAAAGAUUUCUAGACAUUUCAGUAAAAUUCAGAUUUGAAACCAUACACCUCUUUGCCUUUAAAGACAUCAUUUUGAAUUUUCUUGGUGUUCCCCAGUUUGGGUUACACACAC